CCUACGGGUGGCAGCAGUGAGGAAUAUUGGUCAAUGGACGAGAGUCUGAACCAGCCAAGUAGCGUGAAGGAUGACUGCCCUAUGGGUUGUAAACUUCUUUUAUAUGGGAAUAAAAUGUUCCACGUGUGGGAUUUUGUAUGUACCAUAUGAAUAAGGAUCGGCUAACUCCGUGCCAGCAGCCGCGGUAAUACGGAGGAUCCGAGCGUUAUCCGGACUUAUUGGGUUUAAAGGGAGCGUAGGUGGAUUGUUAAGUCAGUUGUGAAAGUUUGCGGCUCAACCGUAAAAUUGCAGUUGAAACUGGCAGUCUUGAGUACAGUAGAGGUGGGCGGAAUUCGUGGUGUAGCGGUGAAAUGCUUAGAUAUCACGAAGAACCCCGAUUGCGAAGGCAGUUCACUGGACUGCAACUGACACUGAGGCUCGAAAGUGUGGGUAUCAAACAGGAUUAGAUACCCCUGUAGUC
rnacentral:rRNA from 1 species